UUCAAAUGAUGAUCACCCAAACCUUGGUUUCGCUAAUAAAGACUGAUUUAUUCGUGAUUGAAACCAUAUUUCUCUUGGCUGUCUGAUGGA